CUGAACAUUACCGCGUAUAUAUAGGCAAGUUUCGUAAAGAUGGACUGACGUCUACACUGACAUCUUCAGGUUUGGAGUGCUUAUUAACGAAUACCUUAAGGAGUACGACUACUGCAACGGGCUAGUGUUAAUCGCAGACAUUAGGGAUAUCAACGUGUUGCGCCUCAGCUACAGCCUCAGCCUGACAGAGUUGCGCAACAUCUUGACCAUUGCCACGGAAGGCUACGACAUGAGGAUAAAAGGGAUACACUACGUGACGUCAUCACGGGCGGUGGAAGUGCUGCUCCGACUGAUGAGAUCAGUGCUGAGUGCUAAACUGAGUGAGAGGAUGCGAGUUCACAAGACUGUGGAGUCAUUAUACGAGGUGGUGUCGAAGGAGAUACUGCCGGCGGAGUAUGGAGGUGACGAAGAAUCCUUG